rnacentral:tRNA from 1 species
GCCUGGGUGGCUCAGUCGGUUGAGCGUCCGACUUCAGCUCAGGUCACGAUCUCGCGGUCCGUGGGUUCGAGCCCCUUGUCGGGCU